rnacentral:rRNA from 1 species
CGGGGUGCACCAGGCGCGAAAACUUUACAAUGCUGGCAACAGCGAUAAGGGGACCUCGAGUGCCAGGAUACAAUCUUGGCUGUCGUGAUGCCUAAAAAGCAUUACAUAGCAAGGGCCGGGCAAGACCGGUGCCAGCCGCCGCGGUAACACCGGCGGCUCGAGUGGUAACCGCUAUUAUUGGGUCUAAAGGGUCUGUAGCCGGCCGGAUAAGUCUCUUGGGAAAUCCAGCAGCUCAACUGUUGGGCUUCCAGGGGAUACUGUUCGGCUCGAGGCCGGGAGAGGUGAGAGGUACUUCAGGGGUAGGGGUGAAAUCUUGUAAUCCUUGAAGGACCACCAGUGGCGAAGGCGUCUCACCAGAACGGUCCUGACGGCAAGGGACGAAAGCUAGGGGCACGAACCGGAUUAGAUACCCGGGUAGUCCUAGCCGUAAACGAUACUCGCUAGGUGUCAGCCACGGUGCGACCGUGGUUGGUGCCGUAGGGAAGCCGUGAAGCGAGCCACCUGGGAAGUACGGCCGCAAGGCUGAAACUUAAAGGAAUUGGCGGGGGAGCAC